rnacentral:sRNA from 1 species
UUGUAAAAAAGAUGGGGACAUAGGGUCCACCAAAAAAUUUUUAUUUCCUAUGUGCUUCCCAAACUGAAUCCCUCUCUAUAGGGGACCAAAAAGAAUGUAUGAGGAGCAUGGACCUAGGAUAGAUAUACCACGUCUUUUCCUGUGCAUGACAUUCGAUUCUCUGGUUCCCUCAUACUGGGGCUAUCAGUCCUAAAAAUCUUUUUUCUCCUAAAUUCUCUUCAUUCUUGCCUCUAGUGAUGUGUUCCGUUCCAAGAAUUUCCUUCCACAUUUUGGAAAAAUGCUGGAGAAUAUUUUCAUGCCAGUGUUUGAGGCCACCAUCAACCCCCAGGCUGACCCAGAACUCAGUGUCUUCCUCAAGCAUGUAAGCAUGACCCUUCAGGCCUUCAUACUGCUGCUCAUGAACCAGCCUUCCUACCUGGUCAUGACUAAUUCUUGGUGCUUAUCUCUUUAUGUUUGGUCUGUGCCUUUGGACCUGAAAGUUUGUGUGAGGACUGGGACCCUGAAGUUGGACUGAACCCAUUGCAUGGCUCACUUUUCCUAACAGAUCACUGGCUUUGACAGUGUGGAUGAUGAGUCCAAACACAGUGGCCACAUGUUCUCCUCCAAGAGUCCCAAGCCCCAGGAGUGGACAUUGGAAAAGAAUCCAUCUUACACUUACUAUGCCUACUACAUGUAUGCAAACAUCAUGGUGCUCAACAGCCUGAGAAAAGUGUUCACUUUUCUACUGAAUUUUCUUGUGAAUCACUCCAUACCCAGAGCCUGCGAUUCCAAUAGCAGUUCUAUUUCCCCAGGGAACGAGGCAUGAAUACGUUUCUGUUCCGACCUCACUGUGGAGAAGCUGGAGCCCUCACCCAUCUCAUGACAGCAUUCAUGAUAGCAGAUAAUAUCUCUCAUGGCCUAAAUUUAAAAAAGAGUCCCGUGCUACAGUACUUGUUUUUCUUAGCCCAAAUUCCCAUCGCCAUGUCACCACUAAGUAACAAUAGCCUAUUUCUAGAGUAUGCCAAAAAUCCUUUUUUGGAUUUCCUUCAGAAAGGGCUAAUGAUCUCACUGUCUACAGAUGACCCAAUGCAAUUCCACUUUACCAAGGAGCCCCUAAUGGAAGAAUAUGCUAUUGCUGCACAAGUCUUCAAGCUGAGCACCUGUGAUAUGUGCGAAGUGGCAAGGAACAGUGUCUUGCAGUGUGGAAUUUCUCAUGAGGAGAAAGUAAAGUUUCUGGGCGACAAUUACCUUGAGGAAGGCCCUGCUGGAAAUGAUAUCCGGAGGACAAAUGUAGCCCAAAUCC